UGGGCCAAUUCGGCACUGGGCGACGAUAUUGGUAGUUUACUCUCUACUCUCGCAGGCUUUUAAUGGGGGUGUCCGUCUAUUGGAAGGCCAGCCGUGCGGCUAGGCUAACCAGCGACGGUCUUCUAGUUUUCCCACUAGGAGGAAAAUAAGGUCAUCUGACCUUACAAUUCAUAUAUGUAUGUUUGUGACAAGUGGUGUUUUGUUUUAUUUAUCGGGUAAACGGACAUAGAACAACACUGGCACGCAGUCUAGGCGUAACUUGGCGAUAGUCUGCACAGGACUGGGCGCUACCCUUCACGAACAUAUUAGCAAGGCUCUGGACUUGCUUCCAUUGUUUGCCGUGGAGGUCUUUGGGUUCUAAUUCUCCAGGGGGUUCAGACACUGAGUCCAUCUUCUGUGUCAGUAACAUCACCGGUGUGAGUACUGCAGGCAUCUCAGAAUCAGAAGACACAGGGACCAGUGGUCGCGCGUUCAUAAUACCCAUAACUUCAGCCAUAAGAGUGGUGAGGACCUUGUGUGAGUGAUGAGUAGAGUCCACCUUGAGAAGCAUGGCAUCGCGGAUGCGGCAGGCCACCCCAAUCAUCCUCUCCCACACUCACCCCAUGUGGGGGAUUGAAGGUCCAGGUGCAGCUGUGAUUUUGAAGUCCUGCGAGAAAUAAUUGUCCAUGGCCCGAAGACAUCUAGCCCGACGUGAGUGAAUGGAGGAUCCAAGGAGAGUCUAUCCACAGCCCAGCUGACCGGACUGCACCUUCAGUGAAAUGACGUCCCUGGCAGCGGUUGAGACAUCUGACAUCUGACAGUUCCAGACAUCUGGAUCCAGAGUUGGCGACUUGCUCAGAGUGACUGGCAUCCUGAACCAAAAGGGCAACCACAGCAUUUUUCAGCGCCAUGCAAUAACCUCUGGUCAACGCCUAGUUGGUCAGGGGUUUAUCCUACAGCAAGAUAAUGACCCAGAACAUACCUCCAGGCUAUGUCAGAACUACCUUAGAAGAAAAGAACAAGACGGUAGGCUUCAAAUCAUGGAAUGGCCAGCACAGUCUCCGGACUUAUACCCCAUCGAGCUGGCUUGGGUUGAACUGGAGAGAAGGGUGAAAGCAAAGUAACCUACAAGUGCAAUGCAUUUGUGGGAACUUCUGCAAUAGUGUUGGGAAGAUCUUUCCGAACAAUAUUUGACAUUGUAGACUGAAUGCCACAAGUGUGUUUUGUGAUUUGAACCCGGGUCUGUCACUCAUCCAAAAAGUUCGAAAAGCAAACUUGCUACCGAGUGAGCUAUGAAGUCCAUUAUUUUUCCAUUUUGUGUGUGUAUCCGAUGUUUUUCUUGGGUGAUGUACCUAAAUGUACAAUGGGGAGACUUAGUCUUUGUGGGCCUGGAGCAUGUAUGAUGAUGUAAUCAGGCAGGAUGAAGAAGGAAAAAAUGCAAAAUCCCUAAGCUUGGAGCUUUAUUGUGUGGACAUGUGAAGUUGUUUGUGAAUUCUCUUGAAAUGGGGUCAGAAGGUAGAGAAAUUAAUGUUUUAAAGGGCUGAGUGUCUGUGGUCAUUGUGGUUAUUUCUUUAGGGAACCCUGAAAAGUGCCAAAUUCUCUGUGCUAUAUAGGUAUGGGCCAUGCCACCCCACCCAGCCGUAACAUGGCAGGAUGGCAUACCUACCAUUCCAAUUAUAGGGGAAAACAUGGCAAAACCUAACAUAGUAGAAUGUAGGGAUGUAUCCGAAUCCGAAUACGGUAUUAUAUAUACGGUACGGAAUUCUGGAAAGCACAAAUAAUGCGAUGGAAACAGAUAUUUCUUCUACCCGAAGUUGCUCGUUAUUAUUCGGUUUUGGGGGAAAAAAAGUAAGCUCCAUGUCGAGUUCUCAUAGCCUCUAUCUAACGUUACAUGGGCAGAGAGGGAGAGGGGGGGCGGCACCAGUUACGCGUGGCUGCUAGCUGUAUCUGGAACUCCGGCACAUAGCAGCUGCAGUAGGCUAUAUGCCUAUCGUUAUUAGACUACUGCAGCUGCUUAGUGCACAAAGUUAGCUAGCUAAAGAGAUCGGAUUCAUUUAAGCCGCAUUUCCACCCGAAGUACCCAGAACUUUUAUUCCCAGGAACUACUAUUCAAGGAACUAAAAGGUUCCUUCAGCCCAUUGUUGUCUGUGUUUCUACCGCGGUCUAAAGACCCGCGAAGAUUAGGCAAAUUAGUCCACUGACGCGGUCAGAGCCGCUUCUCUUAUUGUGGGCUUAAUUUUCUUGUAAUCUUGUUUUAAUUUUUUAAGCUUCUCCUGGCACUGUUUCCCGGUGUGAACAAUGUUCAGCUCACUUAACUUGCAGGAGAUAUUCACGUACACCUUAUCAUUGCGGGUCACUGUUUCCAAUUCCCGCUGGAUUUCGUCCUCAGCAUAAAUACUCAAUAAGGCCUGGACUUCGUUGUCGGUCCAUCUGUCAAAUGAUUUCUUCUGUAACUCCAUAUUGAUGUGUCAAAGCACA